ACUAGCUGUUGAACAAUGGCAGGAAGUUGGUCUGCUGUUCAGUCUCUGGCAAUUUGUGUUUGGUUCUGUGCUUUCUGUCAUGCUGUUCCAAAGUGGAGUGAUCUGCCCCGGAAUCCUCAAGCUCUGAUGUUCCAGCAAACUAACCAGCAGUUUCAGAAGCCAGUUCAACAGCAAGCUAGUCAAUGGUUUCCUCAAAAAGUUCAAAAGCCAGUUCAACAGCAAGCUAAUCAAUGGUUUCCUCAGAAAGUUCAAAAGCCAGUUCAACAGCAAGCUAGUCAACAGUUUCCUCAGCAGGUUCAACAGCAAGCUAGUCAACAGUUUUCUCAGCAGUUUCAACAGCAAGCUAGUCAACAGUUUCCUCAGCAGUUUCAACAGCAAGCUAGUCAACAGUUUCCUCAGCAGGUUCAACAGCAAGCUAGUCAACAGUUUCCUCAGCAGGUUCAACAGCAAGCAGGUCAACAGUUUCCUCAGUCAGUUCAACUGCAAGCAGGUCAACAGUUUCCUCAGUCAGUUCAACUGCAAGCAGGUCAACAGUUUCCUCAGUCAGUUCAACUGCAAGCAGGUUUCUCAGUCAGUUCAACUGCAAGCAGGUCAAGAGUUUCCUCAGUCUGUUCAACAGCAAGCAGGUCAAGAGUUUUCUCAGUCAGUUCAACAGCAAGCUAGUCAACGGUUUCCUCAGCAGUUUCACCCUAAGUACCCAGUGGUGAAGGCAGAGCCCCUUGACAAAUGUACUGUAGCUGAUUAUGAGCAGAUCCAAUGUGGACCACCUGGUAUCAGUGGUGCUGAGUGUGCUGCUAUCAACUGCUGCUUUAAUGGACAGCAGUGUUACUAUGGGAAGGCAGUGACUGUCCAGUGUAUAAGAGAUGGUCAGUUUGUGGUGGUGGUGGCUAGAGAUGUUACGCUGCCUCGAUUGAGCCUGGAUUCAGUCCGUCUCCUGGGUGGAAAUGAUCCAGCUUGCAGUCCUGUGGGAUCCACACCUUUCUUUGCUAUAUACCAGUUCCCAGUCACUGCAUGUGGCACAAGCAUGAUGGAGGACAGUGGCUAUGUGGUGUAUGAAAACAGAAUGACCUCCUCAUAUGAAGUGGGUGUCGGACCACUUGGUUCCAUCACAAGGGACAGCCAUUUUGAGCUUCUCUUCCAGUGUAGGUACUCUGGUACCUCUGUGGAAGCUCUGGUUGUGGAGGUCAACACCGUUCCUCCACCUCCACCAGUAGCUGCGCCUGGACCCCUCAGGGUGGAGCUUAGACUGGCAAAUGGUCAAUGUGUCACCAAAGGCUGUGCAGAAGGGGACGAGGCGUACACGUCCUACUACAGUGACGCAGAUUAUCCAGUUACAAAAGUCCUGCGGGAGCCUGUGUAUGUUGAGGUGCACAUUUUGGAGAGGAACGACCCCAACAUUGUCCUGAUGCUGGGACGUUGCUGGGCGACAUCAACCCCCAGUCCACUCAGUCUACCCCAAUGGGAUCUUCUGGUUGAUGGAUGCCCUUACCAGGAUGAUCGUUACCUGACCACAUUGGUUCCAGUGGCUGGAUCAUCUGGUCUUCAGUUCCCUACCCACUACAAGCGCUUUGUUGUGAAGAUGUUCACAUUUGUAGAUCCAGCAUCACUGGCUCCUCUGCAGGAAACCAUCUUCAUCCACUGUAGUACAGCGGUGUGCCAUCCCUCCUCUGGCUCCUGUGAGCAAAGCUGCACUAGGAAAAGAAGAGACGUGCACGUCAAGACCAUCUCUAGUGGGCAAACUGUGGUUUCUAGUGGAGAAGUUAACCUGGUCAAGUGAAAUUUGGUGUUUUAAUAAAAUUCAUGAAACUCAA